GGUGAUUGGAUUGAGGAACAAAUGCAGUGCAACGAUGCUGGCUUUUAUGACCUAAUUACUAUUUUGCUACUCGCCUUCAGGCCUCUCAUCAUUACGCGGAUAGGCAAACCGACACACAAAUUGUAAACGACUGUUUCGCUUAAUCUGCAAGCAGCCAAUCAACCGUUCACGUCCACGCCACUUUUCCUAGCGUCAUCUUGAGAGGUUUACCACCUUGCUUUAUCCGCGGAAUCUCGCCGGCCUGCCCUGUCCGACCUCCACGUGACCUCUUCUCGUGAGGCUGUUCGCUGUCAACACGGCUAUCGGCUGGUUUCACUGUAUUGGAUAACAUGAUAAUGAUGACGCAUGUGUGACAUGCUGCAAGAGUUUUCCAAGUUCCUCAAGGUCCCGCCAGAGGUUCGUGUACGCGUUUGUGUCGCACUUUUCACUAGCAGAAAACCAACGAAAAAGCUGCCGCGCGCAAAGUGCUGAACGAACAUAAGAAUGAAUGAAUGUUGACUAACGCUUUACACGCAAACCAGCUGCCCUUGCCCCGCCCCCCUCCUCCCACCCCCUUUAGCCCCUCCACCUACUAACGCUCGCCUAAAACCGGAAGUCGUGCACCUUGUUGCCAAGACGACAACUACAACAGGAAAUGCUCUGUGAGCAGGCCGCUCCCCAUCGACGUCCGACAGCGAGCCGGUGGCCCUGCCGCUCGAUGAAGACCAAUCGGCCGAGAGGCGACGCCGGAAGCGCUCGCUAGCUGCCAACGUCGCAUCCUAGACGUCCGCCAUCUUCCUCGUCGUUUGUUGUGAUGACGAAACACCU